GUCUUUCUAGUUUAAAUAGAAUCGAUAAUUUGCACUUAUCAGGUGAGAUAUUUUCUCGACAGACA
rnacentral:tRNA from 1 species